GACGAACGCUGGCGGCGUGCCUAAUACAUGCAAGUCGAACGCAUUUUCUUUCACCGUAGCUUGCUACACCGAAAGAAAAUGAGUGGCGAACGGGUGAGUAACACGUGGGUAACCUGCCCAUCAGCGGGGGAUAACACUUGGAAACAGGUGCUAAUACCGCAUAAUUCCAUUUACCGCAUGGUAGAUGGAUGAAAGGCGCUUUUGCGUCACUGAUGGAUGGACCCGCGGUGCAUUAGCUAGUUGGUGGGGUAACGGCCUACCAAGGCUGCGAUGCAUAGCCGGCCUGGGGAGGUGGUCGGCCACACUGGGACUGAGACACGGCCCAGACUCCUACGGGAGGCAGCAGUAGGGAAUCUUCGGCAAUGGACGCAAGUCUGACCGAGCAACGCCGCGUGAGUGAAGAAGGUUUUCGGAUCGUAAAACUCUGUUGUUAGAGAAGAACAAGGAUGAGAGUGGAAAGUUCAUCCCUUGACGGUAUCUAACCAGAAAGCCACGGCUAACUACGUG
rnacentral:rRNA from 1 species